rnacentral:tRNA from 1 species
AAAGCGUUAGUUCAGCAGGAAGAAUACCGCCAUGUCGCGGCGGAGGUCGUGGGUUCGAGUCCCACACGCUUUCCA